rnacentral:rRNA from 1 species
GCACCCCCACAACCACGCGACCAUUGGGUUUAAUUCAAAGUAACGCGAACAACCUUACCAACACUUAACAUCUCCUAAAUACCCUAGAGAUAGUUGAAAGCCUUCGGGCCAGAAAAACAGGUGGUCCAUGGUUGUCGUCAGCUCGUGUCGUAAGAUGUUGGUUUAAGUCCCGCAACGAGCGCAACUCCCGUCGUUAGUUGCCAUCAUUAAGUUGGGCACUCUAGCAAGACUGCCGAGGUUAACUCGGAGGAAGGUGGGGAUGACGUCAAAUCAUCAUGCCCCUUAUGUCUUGGGCUACACACGUGCUACAAUGGCCGGUACAGAAAGAAGCGAACCCGUGAGGGGGAGCAAAUCUCAAAAACCGGUCCCAGUUCGGAUUGUAGGCUGCAACUCGCCUACAUGAAGCCGGAGUUGCUAGUAAUCGCGGAUCAGCAUGCCGCGGUGAAUACGUUCCCGGGUCUUGUACACACCGCCCGUCACACCAUGAGAGUCGGCAACACCCGAAGUCAGUGGGCUAACUCGAAAGAGAGGCAGCUGCCGAAGGUGGGGUCGAUGAUUGGGGUGAAGUCGUAACAAGGUAA